AUGUCAAAGUGCACCACAGUCAAGUUCACGGCAAAGUUCCUUGUUGUGGCAAGUGGUGAGAAUAGUGCAGAGAAUAUUCCAAUGAUCCCUGGACUAGAAAGCUUUCCAGGUGAUGUCAUCCACUCCUCAAGCUACAAGUCAGGCAAGAGCUACUCUGGCAAGAAUGUAUUGGUCGUUGGAUCCGGCAACUCCGGGAUGGAAAUUGCUUAUGACCUUGCGAUCCAUGGUGCCAACACAUCGGUUGUUAUACGAAGCCCGAUUCAUGUAAUGACAAAGGAAUUAAUUCGUUUGGGCAUGACACUUGCUCACCAUCUUCCAUUGAAUCUAGUGGAUAAACUCCUUGUGAUGGCAGCGUAUUUAAUAUUUGGAGACCUGUCACGACAUGGCAUCACAAGGCCAAAAAUGGGUCCAAUGACCCUCAAAGCAGAA
rnacentral:rRNA from 1 species